rnacentral:tRNA from 4 species
CAGAGGGUAGUUUAAUUUAGAAUCUUAGCUUUGG